rnacentral:misc_RNA from 1 species
AAGUCGUAACAAGGCUUCCGUAGGUGAACCUGCGGAAGGAUCAUUACCAAAUCCAAAUUCAACCACUUGUGAACUUGUCUUGUAUUGUCUUUUGGGAGGUUUGUCAGGUGAUUUAUUGCCUGCUCUCAAACAUACAUUUAUUUGUAUGAUUGAGAGCCUCCCAUUAGGCGCGUGUGUGUUGCUGCUGCAAAGCGCCAACACCACAAAACAUAAACCACAAUUUAAAAUUUCCCAUUUGGUUUUUUUAUUCAAAAAAACAAAUGACAACUUUUAACGGUGGAUCUCUUGGCUCAU